GCCCGGGUGGCUCAGUCGGUUAAGCGUCCGACUCCGGCUUGGGUCAUGAUCUCACGGUUCGUGGGUUCGAGCCCCGCGUCGGGUU
rnacentral:tRNA from 1 species